rnacentral:rRNA from 1 species
GAUGAACGCUAGCGGCAGGCCUAAUACAUGCAAGUCGAACGAUACCAGAGAGCUUGCUUUCUGGGAAAGUGGCGCACGGGUGCGUAACGCGUAUGCAACCUACCUUAAUCAGGGGGAUAGCCUCUCGAAAGAGAGAUUAACACCGCAUAAAAUCACACUUCGGCAUCGAAGAAUGAUCAAAUAUUUAUAGGAUUAAGAUGGGCAUGCGUGACAUUAGCUAGUUGGUAAGGUAACGGCUUACCAAGGCUACGAUGUCUAGGGGAUCUGGGAGGAUGACCCCCCACACUGGUACUGAGACACGGACCAGACUCCUACGGGAGGCAGCAGUAAGGAAUAUUGGUCAAUGGGGGCAACCCUGAACCAGCCAUGCCGCGUGCAGGAAGACGGCCCUACGGGUUGUAAACUGCUUUUAUACGGGAAUAAAUCUCGCUACGUGUAGUGAGUUGAAUGUA